rnacentral:rRNA from 1 species
GACGAACGCUGGCGGCGUGCUUAACACAUGCAAGUCGAACGGUGAAGCGCCUUCCUUUUUGGUGGGUGUGGAUGAGUGGCGAACGGGUGAGUAACACGUGAGUAACCUGCCCCCUUCUUCUGGAUAACCGCAUGAAAGUGUGGCUAAUACGGGAUAUUCUGGGUCUGUCGCAUGAUGGGUCUGGGAAAGAUAUUGUUUCGGUGGGGGAUGGGCUCGCGGCCUAUCAGCUUGUUGGUGGGGUGAUGGCCUACCAAGGCGGUGACGGGUAGCCGGCCUGAGAGGGUGGAUGGUCACACUGGGACUGAGGCACGGCCCAGACUCCUACGGGAGGCAGCAGUGGGGAAUAUUGCACAAUGGGCGCAAGCCUGAUGCAGCGACGCCGCGUGAGGGAUGGAGGCCUUCGGGUUGUGAACCUCUUUCGCCAGUGAAGCAGGCCUGCCUCGUUUGUGGGUGGGUUGACGGUAGCUGGAUAAGAAGCGCCGGCUAACUACGUG